rnacentral:rRNA from 1 species
AAAUAGAUACCCCGGGGUAGUCCACGCCGUAAACGAUGAGUGCUAGGUGUUGGGGGGGACCCCCCUCAGGUGCCGCAGGUAACCCAAUAAGCACUCCGCCUGGGGAGUACGGUCGCAAGACUGAAACUCAAAGGAAUUGACGGGGGCCCGCACAAGCGGUGGAGCAUGUGGUUUAAUUCGAAGCAACGCGAAGAACCUUACCAGGGCUUGACAUCCCGCUGACCGGUGUAGAGAUAUGCCUUUCCCCUUCGGGGGACAGCGGUGACAGGUGGUGCAUGGUUGUCGUCAGCUCGUGUCGUGAGAUGUUGGGUUCAGUCCCGCAACGAGCGCAACCCUUGUUUCUAGUUGCCAGCACUUCGGGGUGGGCACUCUAGAGAGACAGCCGGUGAAAGGCCGGAGGAAGGUGGGGAUGACGUCAAAUCAUCAUGCCCCUUAUGUCCUGGGCUACACACGUGCUACAAUGGCUGGUACAAAGGGCAGCGAACCCGCGAGGGGGAGCCAAUCCCGAAAAAACCNGUCUCAGUUCGGAUUGCAGGCUGCAACUCG